rnacentral:rRNA from 1 species
UACGGAGGGGGCUAGCGUUGUUCGGAAUUACUGGGCGUAAAGCGCGCGUAGGCGGACCUGCAAGUCGGGGGUGAAAGCCCGAGGCUCAACCUCGGAACUGCCUUCGAUACUGCGGGUCUCGAGUCCGGGAGAGGUGAGUGGAAUUCCUAGUGUAGCGGUGAAAUGCGCAGAUAUCAGGAAGAACACCGGUGGCGAAGGCGGGUCUCUGGGCCGAUACUGACGCUGAGGAGCGAAAGCGUGGGGAGCGAACAGG